CUAGAUCCAUGAAAACUUGAGCAAAGUUGAUGUAAUCUUCUUUUUCCAUUCUUUUGAUAUGGAGGGCUUGAUAUGUUGUCUUCAUCAAAAUCUUGUAGGAAGCUUCUCUUCACAUUCUCCCCCUUUUUGAUGACGACAACCAAUAUUGAAGCUUGAACUCAUACUCCUCCUAUCUCUUGAAAGUAAUCAAAUGAAAAACUCCCCCUGCAUAAAAUAACACAAGCAAAACACACAUGCAUACACCUUCUCCCCUUUGUCAUGAUCAAAA
rnacentral:lncRNA from 1 species